rnacentral:rRNA from 1 species
UACAGAGGUCUCAAGCGUUGUUCGGAUUCAUUGGGCGUAAAGGGUGUGUAGGUGGCGCGCUAAGUCGGAGGUGAAAUCCUGGAGCUCAACUCCAGAACUGCCUUCGAUACUGGGGAUCUCGAGUCCGGGAGAGGUGAGUGGAACUGCGAGUGUAGAGGUGAAAUUCGUAGAUAUUCGCAAGAACACCAGUGGCGAAGGCGGCUCACUGGCCCGGUACUGACGCUGAGGUGCGAAAGCGUGGGGAGCAAACAGG